rnacentral:rRNA from 1 species
AGAGUUUGAUCCUGGCUCAGAUUGAACGCUGGCGGUAUGCUUAACACAUGCAAGUCGAACGGAAACGACAAGAGCUUGCUCUUGGGCGUCGAGUGACGGACGGGUGAGUAACGCGUAGGAAUCUGCCUGAUAGUGGGGGAUAGCCCAGAGAAAUCUGGAUUAAUACCGCAUAAUAUCUAUGGAUUAAAGUGGAGGAUCUUCGGACUUCACGCUAUCAGAUGAGCCUGCGUAAGAUUAGUUUGUUGGUGAGGUAAAGGCUCACCAAGGCGACGAUCUUUAGCUGGUCUGAGAGGAUGAUCAGCCACACUGGGACUGAGACACGGCCCAGACUCCUACGGGAGGCAGCAGUGGGGAAUAUUGGACAAUGGGGGCAACCCUGAUCCAGCAAUACCGCGUGUGUGAAGAAGGCCUGAGGGUUGUAAAGCACUUUCAAUUGUGAAGAAAAGCUAGUAGUUAAUACUUAUUAGCCUUGACGUUAACUUUAGAAGAAGCACCGCUAACU